GUGCUGCUGUGUUCUCAACUCUGGAUGAUGGAAGAAUAGUAAGAGGUCUUGCUGGGGUUCCAAAGGAAGGUCCUGUUUUAUUAGUUGGUUACCACAUGUUGAUGGGAUUUGAACUUCAGCCCCUCUCGGAAGCAUUCUUGAGGGAGAACAUUGUUCUGCGUGGUCUAGCACAUCCAUCACUCUUUAAUGGGACGAUAGAAAAUUCAUCUAGUGAAUUUUCUCAACUAGAUUGGUAUAAAGUGUUGGGCG
rnacentral:misc_RNA from 1 species